rnacentral:pre_miRNA from 19 species
UGGAACAAUCCUUGAAGCUCAGGAGGGAUAGCGCCUCGAAAUCAAACUAGGCGCUAUCUAUCCUGAGCUCCAUGGUUUGUUCUU